rnacentral:rRNA from 1 species
CAAUAGCGUAUAUUAAAGUUGUUGCGGUUAAAAAGCUCGUAGUUGGAUUUCUGCUGAGAACGACCGGUCCGCCCUCUGGGUGUGUAUCUGGCUCUUUCUUGGCAUCUUCUUGGUGAACGUUGCUGCACUUGACUGUGUGGAGCGCUACCCAGGACUUUUACUUUGAGGAAAUUAGAGUGUUUCAAGCAGGCAUACGCCUUGAAUACAUUAGCAUGGAAUAAUAAGAUAGGACCUCGGUUCUAUUUUGUUGGUUUCUAGAGCUGAGGUAAUGAUUAAUAGGGAUAGUUGGGGGCAUUCGUAUUUAACCGUCAGAGGUGAAAUUCUUGGAUUUGUUAAAGACGGACUACUGCGAAAGCAUUUGCCAAGGAUGUUUUCAUUG